rnacentral:rRNA from 1 species
CUGGUAAGUCAGUUGUGAAAGUUUGCGGCUCAACCGUAAAAUUGCAGUUGAUACUGUCAGUCUUGAGUACAGUAGAGGUGGGCGGAAUUCGUGGUGUAGCGGUGAAAUGCUUAGAUAUCACGAAGAACUCCGAUUGCGAAGGCAGCUCACUGGACUGCAACUGACACUGAUGCUCGAAAGUGUGGGUAUCAAACAGGAUUAGAUACCCUGGUAGUCCACACAGUAAACGAUGAAUACUCGCUGUUUGCGAUAUACGGUAAGCGGCCAAGCGAAAGCAUUAAGUAUUCCACCUGGGGAGUACGCCGGCAACGGUGAAACUCAAAGGAAUUGACGGGGGCCCGCACAAGCGGAGGAACAUGUGGUUUAAUUCGAUGAUACGCGAGGAACCUUACCCGGGCUUAAAUUGCAGUGGAAUGAUGUGGAAACAUGUCAGUGAGCAAUCACCGCUGUGAAGGUGCUGCAUGGUUGUCGUCAGCUCGUGCCGUGAGGUGUCGGCUUAAGUGCCAUAACGAGCGCAACCCUUAUCUUCAGUUACUAACAGGUCAUGCUGAGGACUCUGGAGAGACUGCCGUCGUAAGAUGUGAGGAAGGUGGGGAUGACGUCAAAUCAGCACGGCCCUUACGUCCGGGGCUACACACGUGUUACAAUGGGGGGUACAGAAGGCAGCUACCUGGUGACAGGAUGCUAAUCCCAAAAGCCUCUCUCAGUUCGGAUCGAAGUCUGCAACCCGACUUCGUGAAGCUGGAUUCGCUAGUAAUCGCGCAUCAGCCACGGCGCGGUGAAUACGUUCCCGGGCCUUGUACACACCGCCCGUCAAGCCAUGGGAGCCGGGGGUACCUGAAGUACGUAACCGCAAGGAGCGUCCUAGGGUAAAACUGGUGACUGGGGCUAAGUCGUAACAAGGUAGCCGUACCGGAAGGUGCGGCUGGAACACCUCCUUU